rnacentral:rRNA from 1 species
UACGUAGGGUGCAAGCGUUAAUCGGAAUUACUGGGCGUAAAGCGUGCGCAGGCGGCUUUGCAAGACAGAUGUGAAAUCCCCGGGCUUAACCUGGGAACUGCAUUUGUGACUGCAUGGCUAGAGUGCGGCAGAGGGGGAUGGAAUUCCGCGUGUAGCAGUGAAAUGCGUAGAUAUGCGGAGGAACACCGAUGGCGAAGGCAAUCCCCUGGGCCUGCACUGACGCUCAUGCACGAAAGCGUGGGUAGCAAACAGG